rnacentral:rRNA from 1 species
UAGGGAAUCUUCCACAAUGGACGAAAGUCUGAUGGAGCAAUGCCGCGUGAGUGAAGAAGGUUUUCGGAUCGUAAAACUCUGUUGUGAGGGAAGAACAAGUACGAGAGUAACUGCUCGUACCUUGACGGUACCUCAUUAGAAAGCCACGGCUAACUACGUGCCAGCAGCCGCGGUAAUACGUAGGUGGCAAGCGUUGUCCGGAAUUAUUGGGCGUAAAGCGCGCGCAGGCGGUCCUUUAAGUCUGAUGUGAAAGCCCACGGCUCAACCGUGGAAGGUCAUUGGAAACUGGGGGACUUGAGUACAGAAGAGGAAAGCGGAAUUCCAAGUGUAGCGGUGAAAUGCGUAGAGAUUUGGAGGAACACCAGUGGCGAAGGCGGCUUUCUGGUCUGUAACUGACGCUGAGGCGCGAAAGCGUGGGGAGCAAACAGGAUUAGAUACCCGCGUAGUCC